rnacentral:rRNA from 1 species
GUACGUAAGUAUGGCAUAAUGAACAAAUAACACUGAUUGUAAAGGUUAUUGAUAACGAAUAAAAGUUACGCUAGGGAU